rnacentral:lncRNA from 1 species
CAGCCUUUGUGUUUUGUCUGACUUUAUUCUUUGGACAAAGACUGACAGAUGAUGGUCUGCAGCUCCGCGGAUUUUAUUAUAUCCUAAAGUAUUUUUCCCCACAGAAAGAAAAACAUGUUUGAAAAGAAAACUCUUUGAUUUGGGUUUUGAAAAGAUCACUGCAGGAGUGGAGGAGGAAAUGCCGCCGGCGCAGGGAAGAGCUGGCCCCGGGCCUGUGGCCGCAGAGCCCACCUUGGGCCGGGAGCAGGAGAGCUGGCAUCCGACAGCGGGCGAUGGAGCCGAGCGCAGCCUCCCCUUGCCCAGAGGGGGAGGCCCGAGUCUCCUGGCAGCCUCCAGAGCCGGCAGAGCAGAGGACGAGACGCAAGAGCAGCCCUGGGCAGCCCUGGGCAGAGGGGCACCUCCACGUGGGCUCUUCUGCCGGCUGUUGCAGAUGGCAGGUGCUGUGACCUUGGAGACGUUCCAGGGAGGCUGGGACGAGCCAGGCUUGGUGACACAUGGGAGCCAAGCACCUGAAAGCCCAGGGGACUAUACAGUCACAGGGAGGUCAUUGGCCAGCGGCUGUCCUCAUCCACUCGGGACGGGCAGGCGCGGCCCUCAGCAUUUUGUUCGUUCCUGGCACAUCACACACCCCCGCUCCUCACGGAGACGACUUCUUCUCCAUCCCCCCGGGACUGGGGACUGAGCCCAGGGCUGCUCUGCCCGGGCCGCAUCUCCAGCCCCUGUCAUUUUUUAAGACAGGGUCUCGCUAAGUUGCCAGGCUGGCCUUGAACUUGAAACCUCCUGCCUCAGCCUCCUAAGCUGUUGCUAAGCCACCAGGCUGUGGUCUUUGCCAUGGUGUCCCCGCUGUCUUCGGUGUGGGCACCGCCAGGCUCAUGGAGGGGGACGUGAACGUGGGCGUUGGAGCUGCAGGGCCAGGCUGUGCCACACCCGGCUCUCCUGGCCCCGGAGGCCUCACAGGGCUCACUCAGGGCUCACUCACCCGCUGCCAGACAGGCGGGUGCCAGGCCCAUGGCACCUGUCGCCCGAGACACCCAGAGUGGGGACUUUGCAGUGCUGUCUUUGAGCUUCCCGGCAGAGGUAGCGGUGGGGACAGGUACCCUCUCCUGUAGCCCCUCCAGCACCAGGUGUUCCUGAAGCCCCUCCCCCUAAGGCCAUCUGGACCACGAGGUCAUGGGCGGGCCCUGUGGGUGCUGGGCGGGACUUCUGGGUGCUGGGUGGGCCCUGAAGAGGCCCGUGCCUAUGUCCCACGUCCUGUUCGAGCUGUAGGACCUGCUGUUCCCGGGCGGGCAGGAGCCAUGGUUGGGGCUGUGCUGAGAUGGGCCUCCCAGCUCUGUGACGGUGACAGGGAGGGACAUCCUUCUGUCCCGUGAACUCCAUGCUCAUGGGCAUUGCUGCUGCCCUGCUGGCGCCUGCGCUUCCCCCUCCCCUGCCUUGGAGGAUGCAGGGCAGCAGAGAGAGAAAUCACAGCUGGACUCCAGGGCCCCAGGGAGAGGAGUGUCAGUCACAGCUGGCAGGUGCCUUGUGUUCCCCUCCCCCAGAGCUUGGCUUCAGCACCUCCCUACCCAGUCACCCCCAGUCUGUCCGUCAUUGCAGGAUGACACGUGGUUAUAGCCCCUGCCCCAUCUUACCAAUAACAAAAUUGGGCUCAGAGAGGUUGAUACACUCAUCCAAGGUCACCCAGGGGGCUAGCGUCGUGGCUGGACCCAGAAUACAACCAAAGUUAGAACUAAAUGACAGUUUGGGACUGGCUUAUGACACUGGUCCUGGUCAUGCAGCAAGCUGGGCAGGAGGAGGUCACCGUCCCACUGAGAGAGGGGAGGGGCGGUGAGGAGAGGUGAACUGGGUCUCUCCCUCCAUCUGGCUUUGCCAGCCUGACCAUCCACAUGGUGCUGGUCCUGCAGUCCCUGGGGGGCACCCAGCCAGGAGGUAGACACCCAGGGCCUGGCCGGACCAUGCACAAUAAUUGAAAUCAUUUCACAAUUGUCUUUGUCACAACAGCAUAAACAAUACAAUAACAGUGGAAUCCAGCAAUAAUAUGAAGUGUAUUGUGCCAGCCUGAGGACCAGGACUACGUCAAGGCCAGCUGUGGACGUCCAGCCACACGUUGGUGGCUGUAGGUCCAUGUCUUCCUGUUGACCUCAGGAGGGCCCCUGCACGCGGCCAGGCUUACCAACAGGACACCCUUGGGAGAGAGAAGUGCACUUACCAGGAAAUUCAGCCCUGACCCAACGUGUCAUUUAACGGAUGGGUGGAAUUCGCUCAGGUUUUCCCCAGUGCCAUCCGCCCGGGAGGCUUUCUGUCCCCGUGGCCUAGCAUUCACUCCGCGGUCCCAGCUGCAGUGGCCGUCUCUCCUCUGAUGCACAGCGAGUUGUCCCGUGGUGUCCCUCCAUCUAGCUUUGUCAGCUGUUUUCUUUUUCCCUUUAUUCAUGUUUUCCUUGCUGGGGACGGAACCCAGGGGCUCUCAACCCUGAGCCACAGCCCGGCCCUUUUGAUAUUUUAUUUAGAGAGAGAGUCUUGCUGAGUUGCUUAGGGCCUUGCGAAGUUGCUGAGGCUGGCUUUGAACUUGUGAUCCUCCUACCUCAGCCUCCUGAGCUGCUGGGAUUAUAGGCGUGCACCGUGGUGCCCAGCUUGCCUGCUGUUUUCGAAAGCUGGAUGUGUGUUUCCGGUGGAGUGAAUCCUGAGGUCUGUGUCUUUUGCUUGAAUCUUUGAAAAACAAACAAACAAAAACCAAAAAACAAACAAACAAACAAAAAACCCCCCCAAAACCCAAACUAAUCGCAAAGAUUAAAACCUGAGAGAUUGUCUGCUUGUCUUGACUUCUGUGUCCUCUCAUGGACAGAGAGCUCUGCCCUGGGCCCCUGGACUGGGAUCCUUCAGGGAACGGUCCUGCAGCUGGGUGGUGGGUAUCUGAGAUGGGGCAGGUGUGAUGGGUGCCGUCCCCCCUCAUCGGGGUGAGUCCUCCUGGACAUGUAGGUGUUGAUUGUGCAAUUCUCUUUGGGUCUGACCCACCCAAUUCAGAGGCCAUUUUAGAGCCCCUGGGAGGCAGAGGAGUGGCCUCUGGGUGCACAGCUG